AAAAAAAAAACUAUUUGGAGAAAAAACAAAAAAGAGGAUAAAGAAAAAGAAAAACAAUUAUCUAGAUGCAACCCUCACAAGUCACAACCAUUGUUCAGCAGAAAACAAAGAGAGAAGCGCAAGGAGAUCACGAUGAGCAGUGGUGACGAGCAACUUCGACUUCGACGGUCGACUUCGACAAAUCUAACCUGAGGUAUUUCUCUCUCUGUGGAAAUAAAUGAUUUUAACUUCGUUGAUUUCGAACUCGUCAUCGUCUUCAAAUAGGUCAAGCUUUGGCACUUCAUUCGCAGCCUUGGGUUCAGUUUCCAUUCCUAAUAUCGUCUUCAAUUGUAAAUGACACCAGAUCUGUGGAUUUCCACAUAAUAAUAUAUAGAUAGAGAUAGAUAGAUAAAGAGAGAGAGAGGGGAGGGAGGGAGGGAGGGGACGCAGCGAUGAUAACAUGAUCGAAUCUGGCAGAACAGCUUCGGGAAUAUCAGAUUCGAUCGAAGCAUGAUUGGACUUCCGUCUCCUUCUUCUCCUCUACUUCUAAUCUCACGUCUUCAAGGUAUCUCUCAAAUCUCCCAAAAUAGGGGUUAUAUUCUCUCAAUUUCUGUUGACUUCUUUAGGUUUGUUCUUUAGGGUUUAAAUUUCACAUUUGCGUGAUCUAUGGCUGAUUAGGAAUGGUAAUUAAUUGAGAUUAGUCUGAACGAUUACUGGAUGAUGGAUCCUAUUCGAUCAAUUACGUUUUUUGUGUGCAUUAGUGGGUUUUAAUUUAUUUUUACAGUUCUUGAUUAUAGGUGUUUGAAUUGCGAAAGCAUGAAUCAAGAAUUUCUGAAAUUAAAACUACCAAACUAUAAUUCACGUGUUAAUUGUUCUUAGAAUGAUGCAUUAUGUCCAGAGGUAUUCUCCCUCGUCUGUUAUGAUAUUGUUCUGCUAAUAUGUAUAUGUAUAUACAUAUUAUGUAUAUGUAUAUGUAUAUGUCUAUAUAUGAUAUUGUUCUGCUAAUAUGUAUAUAUGUAUAUAUACAUAUUUAUAUGUUAGCCCUAUGGCGUCAAUCCGAUAUGUUGCCCCAAAUAUUAUGAGGAUAACAAAUUCUAUCUAUUACUCUAAUGUAUUUAAUCAAGUAUGAUAGUUCAAGAAACAUUCAAGCACAUAUCUCAAGGAGCAAAAUAUCGAGAUAUUGACUGGCACAGCAGAAGCCUUCAAGCAACUGAAGAUCUCAAGAAAUGAAGACCUUUCAUUAGGGUCUUUUUGUAAAGCUCUUGUAUGUUUUACUUAUUGAGGCUCUAACUAAAAUGACCUAAUAUCCUUCAUGCAUUUUAAAAUAAAAAAGUGCAUUAAAAUUUAAAGUUCUUAAAAAUGUGCUAGCAUAAUUCUUAUCUUUCAAAAUUUAAUUACAUUUUAAAAUUAAAUUUUGAAAAAUGGGCUAGUAAUAAUUUUUGUUUUGAAAACUUGAUUCAAAGUUUGAAAAAUUGGGCUUAGCAACAUGCUAACUUGAAAAUUUGAUUCCAAUUUAAAAAUAUGCUAGCAAUUUUCUGACUUUGAAAAUUUUGAUUCCAAGUUUUUGAAAAUUGGUUAGGCAAUAAUGUUUGACUUUGAAAAAUUUAAUUCCAAAUUUGAAAUAUGCUAGCAACAAUUUCCUGACUUUGAAAAAACGUGGUUGCAACUUUGAAAAAUUGGUAGACAAUUUCUAACUUUGAAAAUGUAGUUGCAACUUUUGAAAUUCUGGACUACAUAAUUUCUCUCUGACUUUGAAAAGUGAUUUUAAAAUUUGAAAAUUGGCUAACAAAUUUCAAAUUCUCUCCAACGGUUAUAAUUUCCUUGCUAAGGCCUAUAAAUACAUAUCCUUAGCUUUUCAUUUCAUAAUACAAUCGUGAGAAAAACAAGCUUAGAUCAAAGCAUACUUUUACUUCCUCAAUUUCCUUUGAGCCUUUCAAUUUAAUUUCAUACAAUAGUUCUAGUGAGGAUAUCAUUGUAAAAUCUUCUUUGUAUAUCCUUAUCAAAAGUGAGAAUUGUUUUAUUGGUGAGAGAAAGCUCAAAUCCUAUCAACUGUUGAUUGUAUCAAGAGGGUUGGGGUGACCCUUAUGAGGUUUGAAAAGGAUUUUCCACUUGUGAACAAGAGUGUUGUGCUCUUGUGCGUGUAAAGGUUUGAACUCCACCCGCAAGGGUUUGGAUUAGUGGAUUGAAAUCUCAAAGUGGUGUGCUUGGGAUUGUACGUAGGUUAGGUAGACCGAACCACUAAAAAUCGGCCGAGUUUGAAAUCCUCUCUCCCUAUCGCUUUAUUAUUGUGCUCAUUUAUAUUCUUUUGCAGUUAUACUGCUUCUUAAAAAUCAUUCUAAACUCUUAUUCAAGUAAUAAUUUUUUAUUAAAAUAAAAGUUUGUCACAACCCUAUUCACCCCCCCUCUAGGGUUGAUUAUCUGGGAACAAUUGGUAUCAAUCAGAAGCCUAACCUCUAAUAUUUGGCUUAAUCCAAAGAUGUACGACAUGGCAAACACAAUCGAAUGAUCGUCGCCGAAGGAC
rnacentral:lncRNA from 1 species